rnacentral:rRNA from 1 species
CAGUCGCCGCGGGAAUACGGAGGGUGCAAGCGUUAUCCGGAUUUAUUGGGUUUAAAGGGUCCGUAGGCGGACUUAUAAGUCAGUGGUGAAAGCCUGUCGCUUAACGAUAGAACUGCCAUUGAUACUGUAAGUCUUGAGUAUAUUUGAGGUAGCUGGAAUAAGUAGUGUAGCGGUGAAAUGCAUAGAUAUUACUUAGAACACCAAUUGCGAAGGCAGGUUACCAAGAUAUAACUGACGCUGAGGGACGAAAGCGUGGGUAGCGAACAGGAUUAGAGACCCCCGUAGUCCCUGUCUCUUAUAC